rnacentral:rRNA from 1 species
AGACAUGCAAGUCGAACGAUUAAAGCUCUCUUCGGAGAGUGCAUAGAGUGGCGCACGGGUGAGUAACACGUAAGUAAUCUACCCUCGAGUGGGGAAUAACGUCCGGAAACGGACGCUAAUACCGCAUAAUGCAGCGGCACCGCAAGGUGACAGUUGUUAAAGGAGAAAUUCGCUUGAGGAGGAGCUUGCGGCAGAUUAGCUUGUUGGUAAGGUAACGGCUUACCAAGGCUACGAUCUGUAACCGGUCUAAGAGGACGGUCGGUCACACUGACACUGAAUAACGGGUCAGACUCCUACGGGAGGCAGCAGUCGGGAAUUUUGGGCAAUGGGCGAAAGCCUGACCCAGCAACGCCGCGUGAAGGAUGAAGUAUUUCGGUAUGUAAACUUCGAAAGAAUGGGAAGAAUCAAUGACGGUACCAUUUAUAAGGUCCGGCUAACUACGUGCCAGCAGCCGCGGUAAUACGUAGGGACCAAGCGUUGUUCGGAUUUACUGGGCGUAAAGGGCGCGUAGGCGGCUUAACAAGUCACUUGUGAAAUCUCCGGGCUUAACUCGGAACGGCCAAGUGAAACUGUCAAGCUAGAGUGCAGAAGGGGCAAUCGGAAUUCUUGGUGUAGCGGUGAAAUGCGUAGAUAUCAAGAGGAACACCUGAGGUGAAGACGGGUUGCUGGGCUGACACUGACGCUGAGGCGCGAAAGCCAGGGGAGCAAACGGGAUUAGAUACCCCGGUAGUCCUGGCCCUAAACGAUGAAUACUUGGUGUCUGGAGUUAUAUGUGCUCCGGGUGCCGUCGCUAACGUUUUUAGUAUUCCGCCUGGGGAGUACGCUCGCAAGAGUGAAACUCAAAGGAAUUGACGGGGACCCGCACAAGCGGUGGAGCAUGUGGUUUAAUUCGACGCAACGCGAAGAACCUUACCUA